GACGAACGCUGGCGGCGUGCUUAACACAUGCAAGUCGAACGGAAAGGCCCUGCUUUUGUGGGGUGCUCGAGUGGCGAACGGGUGAGUAACACGUGAGUAACCUGCCCUUGACUUUGGGAUAACUUCAGGAAACUGGGGCUAAUACCGGAUAGGAGCUCCUGCUGCAUGGUGGGGGUUGGAAAGUUUCGGCGGUUGGGGAUGGACUCGCGGCUUAUCAGCUUGUUGGUGGGGUAGUGGCUUACCAAGGCUUUGACGGGUAGCCGGCCUGAGAGGGUGACCGGCCACAUUGGGACUGAGGUACGGCCCAGACUCCUACGGGACGCAGCAGUGGGGAAUAUUGCACAAUGGGCGGAAGCCUGAUGCAGCAACGCCGCGUGCGGGAUGACGGCCUUCGGGUUGUAAACCGCUUUCGCCUGUGACGAAGCGUGAGUGACGGUAAUGGGUAAAGAAGCACCGGCUAACUACGUG
rnacentral:rRNA from 1 species